UACAGAGGUGGCAAGCGUUGUUCGGAAUUACUGGGCGUAAAGGGCGCGUAGGCGGCCUACUAAGUCAGACGUGAAAUCCCCCGGCUUAACCUGGGAACUGCGUCUGAUACUGGAAGGCUUGAGGAUGGGAGAGGGAUGUAGAAUUCCAGGUGUAGCGGUGAAAUGCGUUGAGAUCGGAAGGAACGCCCGUGGCGAAAGCGAGGUCCUGGACGCCUACUGACGCUGAGACGCGAAAGCCAGGGGAGCGAACGGG
rnacentral:rRNA from 1 species